CGGGUACAACGAGUCGCAAGCUCGCGAGAGUAAGCUAAUCUCUUAAAGCCGUUCUCAGUUCGGACUGUAGGCUGCAACUCGCCUACACGAAGUCGGAAUCGCUAGUAAUCGCGGAUCAGCAUGCCGCGGUGAAUACGUUCCCGGGCCUUGUACACACCGCCCGUCACACCAUGGGAGUUUGUAACGCCCAAAGUCGGUGGCCUAACCUUUAUGGAGGGAGCCGCCUAAGGCGGGACAGAUGACUGGGGGUGAAGUCGUAACAAGGUAAC
rnacentral:rRNA from 1 species